rnacentral:rRNA from 1 species
CAAAUCCGGAAAACCAAGGCUGAGGCGUGAUGACGAGGCACUACGGUGCUGAAGCGACAAAUGCCCUGCUUCCAGGAAAAGCCUCUAAGCAUCAGGUAACAUCAAAUCGUACCCCAAACCGACACAGGUGGUCAGGUAGAGAAUACCAAGGCGCUUGAGAGAACUCGGGUGAAGGAACUAGGCAAAAUGGUGCCGUAACUUCGGGAGAAGGCACGCUGAUAUGUAGGUGAAGCGACUUGCUCGUGGAGCUGAAAUCAGUCGAAGAUACCAGCUGGCUGCAACUGUUUAUUAAA